rnacentral:rRNA from 1 species
UGCGUAGGUGGUGAGGUAAGUCGGAUGUGAAAGCUCCGAGCUCAACUCGGAAAUGGCAUUGGAAACUACCUUGCUCGAGGGUUUGAGGGGGGACUGGAAUACUUGGUGUAGCAGUGAAAUGCGUAGAUAUCAAGUAGAACACCAGUGGCGAAGGCGAGUCCCUGGAAAACUCCUGACACUGAGGCACGAAAGCUAGGGGAGCAAACAGGAUUAGAUACCCUGGUAGUCCUAGCCGUAAACGGUGCGUAUUUGCUGUAAAAGGAAUCGACCCCUUUUGUGGCGUAGCCAACGCGUUAAAUACGCCGCCUGGGAAGUACGGUCGCAAGAUUAAA